ACCCGGGUGGCUCAGUGGUUGAGCGCCUGCCUUGGGCCCAGGGCGUGAUCUUGGGGUCCUGGGAUCGAGUCCCGGAUCGGGUU
rnacentral:tRNA from 1 species